rnacentral:SRP_RNA from 1 species
GCUGGGCAUGGCAUACAUGCCUGUAAUCCCUGCUACUGGGGAGAUUAAGGCUGGUGGAUCUCCUGAGCUCAGGAGUUUUGAGCUAUAGAGAGCAAAGUGGAAUGGGUAUCUGCACUAAGUUCAGCAUAAAUAUGGUAAAUUCCUGAGAACAGGGGCCACCAGGUUGCCUAAAGAGGAGUGAACCUGCUCAGGAAAGAAAACAGAUUCCCCUGUGGAUCAGUCAUACUGAGCCCAUAAGUUGCCCCUGCAUUUCUGGAGUGGGAAAAAUAAGGAGAUGUGGUCAUGU